rnacentral:tRNA from 1 species
UCUAAUAUGGCAGAAUAGUGCAAUGGAUUUAAACCCCAUAUAUAAAGUAAACUUUUUUUAGAA